rnacentral:rRNA from 1 species
CAGCGGUAGCCGCGGGAAUACAGAGGGUGCGAGCGUUAAUCGGAUUUACUGGGCGUAAAGCGUGCGUAGGCGGCUUUUUAAGUCGGAUGUGAAAUCCCUGAGCUUAACUUAGGAAUUGCAUUCGAUACUGGGAAGCUAGAGUAUGGGAGAGGAUGGUAGAAUUCCAGGUGUAGCGGUGAAAUGCGUAGAGAUCUGGAGGAAUACCGAUGGCGAAGGCAGCCAUCUGGCCUAAUACUGACGCUGAGGUACGAAAGCAUGGGGAGCAAACAGGAUUAGAUACCCCGGUAGUCCCUGUCUCUUAUAC